AGAGUUUGAUCAUGGCUCAGGACGAACGCUGGCGGCAUGCCUAAUACAUGCAAGUCGAACGAGCUGACAGAGUGCUUGCACUCUCAACGCGAGUGGCGGACGGGUGAGUAACACGUGGGAAACCUACCUGUAAGUAGGGGAUAACAUUCGGAAACGGAUGCUAAUACCCUAUAGGUUUCAGUUCCGCAUGGAACUGAAAGGAAAGACGGCUUUGCUGUCGCUUACAGAUGGUCCCGCGGCGCAUUAGCUAGUUGGUGGGAUAAAAGCUCACCAAGGCUGUGAUGCGUAGCCGACCUGAGAGGGUAACCGGCCACACUGGGACUGAGACACGGCCCAGACUCCUACGGGAGGCAGCAGUAGGGAAUCUUCCGCAAUGGACGAAAGUCUGACGGAGCAAUGCCGCGUGAAUGAAGAAGGUCUUCGGAUCGUAAAAUUCUGUUGUUAGAGAAGAACAAGGAGUAGCUAACUACUACUCCCUUGACGGUAUCUAACCAGAAAGCCACGGCUAACUACGUGCCAGCAGCCGCGGUAAUACGUAGGUGGCAAGCGUUGUCCGGAUUUAUUGGGCGUAAAGGGAGCGCAGGCGGUGACCUAAGUCUGAUGUGAAAGCCCACGGCUCAACCGUGGAAGGUCAUUGGAAACUGGGUCACUUGAAUAUAGAAGAGGAAAGUGGAAUUCCAUGUGUAGCGGUGAAAUGCGUAGAUAUAUGGAGGAACACCAGUGGCGAAGGCGACUUUCUGGUCUAUUAUUGACGCUGAGGCUCGAAAGCAUGGGUAGCAAACAGGAUUAGAUACCCUGGUAGUCC
rnacentral:rRNA from 1 species